rnacentral:rRNA from 1 species
AACGUAGGACACGAGCGUUAUCCGGAGUUACUGGGCGUAAAGGGCGGGUAGGUGGUGCGAUAAGACUGGUGUGAAAGCCUUCGGCUUAACCGAGGGAGGACACUGGUGACUGUCGGACUUGAGGCAGAUAGAGGGGUGUAGAAUUCCGGGUGUAGUGGUGAAAUGCGCAGAUAUCAGGAAGAACACCAAUGGCGAAAGCAGCUCUCUGGGGACGGUACUGACGCUGAGACGCGGAAGCGUGGGGAGCGAACAGG